rnacentral:rRNA from 1 species
UACGUAGGGGGCAAGCGUUGUCCGGAAUCAUUGGGCGUAAAGAGCGUGUAGGCGGCUCGAUAAGUCUGCUGUGAAAGUCCAGGGCUCAACCCUGGAAGGCCGGUGGAAACUGUCGGGCUAGAGUCCGGAAGAGGCGAGUGGAAUUCCCGGUGUAGCAGUGAAAUGCGUAGAGAUCGGGAGGAACAUCUGUGGCGAAGGCGACUGCCUGGACCAGCACUGACACUGAGGUGCGAAAGCGUGGGGAGCAAACAGG